rnacentral:rRNA from 1 species
AUGGAGAGGAGGGAGGACCCCGUGGCCUUCGCGAGGAGAGCGCCGCCAGCAGCGUCAACCGGAGCGGGCCAAGGCGGCCAAUCAUCGGCGGUGCCAGAGGAGCCGGCCGGGGGUGAGCCGGAGGACAGAGCCGGCCUCGAGGUGCAGCCGGUGAUGCGUAGGCGCGCAGGGGAAGGCACCGCUCCGUCGGAGUCGCACCGAGUCGCGGGCGUAGGCCAGUCGGCUGAAGAUCCAGAGGCGGCCAGCACUACCACGUUCGAGUGGACUCCCAGCGGGGGGACUGGCGAGCUGAAUGCGGCGGCUCAAGAGGUCCGGAGCCGGCUUCAAGCUCAGGCCGCCCUGAUGCAGCAGUACACCCAGGAGUUCCUGUCGACGCGGGCCGUCAUCCGGGAAUAUCAUAACUCCCAUGCUGCCGCCUUCAACUCUCAGGCUCAGGAGUUGGGUCGGAAGACCAAUGACCUGGCCAACAGCCGAAGGGCCAACGCCGACUUGAGGAAGGAGCUCGGCGAAGCGCAGGCCGCCCUUCAUACCAAGGAUGCCGAGAAAGCUGUCUUGGUCCAGGAGCGUGACCGCCUGGCCAAGAAGGUGGCUGACCAGGAGAAGAGCCACAAGGCGGCCCUGCAGCAAGCACAGGAUAGUGAGGCCGCCCUGAAGGCAGAGUAUGAGACCGAGGCGGCGAGCUGGGCUGAGACCCGGCGAGCACUUGAUGAGGGCUUCGGCCGCAUCGAGGACUUGAUCGACGACUACUUUCCCGGCUACUCCGCCUUUGCCGCCCAAAGCAUCGAAGCCCACCGCGAGGCGCGCCGUCAGGCGGGGGCCAACAUCGCGCCGGAUGCGAACCGGACGCUUGAGGAGCUGCUCUUGGCUGUCCAGGCGCAGUUGCAGCCGGCUCAUCGGAUGCUUCGCCGGCUCCAACGUGCCGGGGCGCAAGUGUUGGCCGCCCUUUGGCCCGGCGAGACGAUCCCCCGCACCCCAAGCCAGACUGCCGACUGGCUGGAGGUCGCAGUCGGUCGCUUUGAGGCUUGGAAGGCAUCGGCGGCCUGCCUCGGAGCCGGGCGGGCGUUGGAGUUCGUUCGGGCUUGGUACCCAGGGCUGAGCCUGGACCAGCUGCGCACUUGGCGGAUGGAGGCUGACGCGGAGCUGGAGGAGGUGAGGCCGGCUAUCGCCCAGCGUGCUUCGACGAUCGCCGAGUGCAUCGACAUCAAGCCGGAGGAGUGGUUCGGGCUGAACCCGAUGGUGGGCGAGGACUCGGCAGAGGAGAUCGCCUCCAGCGACGAAGGCGAGGAUGAUGAAGAGGAGGAUGGCGAAGACAUCGAGCCGGCUGGUGGAACAACCGGCCGACCUCAGGCCGACCAUGCCUCCAGCAACGAGGCGCGUGGAAGCGCGCCCUCUGCGGGAGGCGGUGACCAAACCGAGGUUCGCCAGCCGGCCGCUCCUUCAGCCGGCACAACUAUCUCCGCCAACCAGCCCGGCUCGUCGGUCGCUCCACCGGCUUGA